UCCCUCCAUCCUCAUGCCAAAGUGUCCGUGGGCAAAACACUCAGCCCCAAACUGCACAAGGCGGCUGUGCCAGCUAUGUGAGUGGGAUUAAUUGGUACCAAUAGGCACUUUAAAUGGCUCCUCCUGCCAUGUCUGUUUGAGUGGGUGAAUAUGACAAGUAUGGAUUAUGUGCCGUUAGUGGUCAGAAGACCAGAUUCCCUCCUGUAUCUCAGUUUAUUACUGAGAUACAUCGAAGUCCAGAAUAAAUGCGACAGUGUGCAAAAAUGUUUAGAUACUAGUGUCCACAAAACCUUUCUCACACUCUUUGCCACCUUUUUUAUUGGCAGCUAUGCCAAAAAUGUGUCAUGUACAUGCUGUCUCGUGAAGGAGAAUCUCCCCCUCCUUGUCUCCCUCACUUCCCUUCUUCGCUGUCUUUCCCACCAACCAUUACCUUUUUUUUUUUUUUCACAGGAGACUCUUUUCUCUUCAACCGUAUUAUUUUCUCUGUCCUAACAUCUUUCCCUACCUGACUUCCAUCUGUCUACCUGACCCAUCUGUCUCUGAGUAAAGCAGUGAUACUCCUCUGCCUUCAGCACAACAACCAGCUGAGUAUAGAGCUGAACUCCUCUGAAAAACCCUUAGCAGAGUGACGUCGACCCCCAAAGGGCUGAUGUCUGCUUUCACUCACUCUUCAAUUAUGCAUUUAUAAGAUCAUUCAUAAAGAAUCAGUAUUACUACAUCCUGUUUUAUUUGAGCCAAUAAAAAUGUCGUUUAGUCCUGAACACUGCAUUACAAACUCCCAGGCCAGGUCCUUGCCAGGCGCAUAACUGUAACAAGAAAUGCACCGCUGAGCAACAGGGCUUAUGUUGCCAAUUUAAACCAAAUGAAAGAGCCCAUCACCAUAAAACCAAAACAUAUGGAUCCCAUAAUCAUAAUCAAAUUAUACAGACUAUAUGGAGGAUUUGAUUGGCUGUAAAGUCCAAUCGGUUGGUUGGUUGGUUGGGGUUUUUUUUAUUUUAUCUUAUAUUUUCUAAGUUUGGACAGGAACAUCAAAACACAACCAUGGAAUGAUCUCUCAAUUAAUUACAUUGAUUUGUAACAGCAUGGCAACAUGGCUGGAUAUAAUAGGAGCACCCACAAGAGGCUGAGUCUAUGGUUCAACAACUUCAAACUAUUGUUCCUCAGUGUAAAAUUGUGUAUUUCAUCAUCUACCGAACAAGAUAAAAAUUGAAAAUAUUUCAGAUACUCAAAGACACCUUUGUACAAAACUAUGACUGGAUGGCUGAGAUCCUCGGGCCCCUAAGUGGCAGGGCUUUAAAAACAGGCCUGACUCUGCAGUUGAAACUUCUGCAUGGACUCGAACUCAAUUUCACAAAGAAAAUAAAAAAAAAAUCAAAAGGCAAAACCCAACUAAAGACACUGUGGGGAAAAGAAUCACAAGGAGACAAUUGGGGACACAAGCAUAUGCACACAUCGACAUACAAUGAACCAACAAGGACAGAGGGGAAGACAGGGACUAUAGACACACUGGGUAACGAGCAACAGGUGAGGCAAACGAGACACAGGUGAAACUUAUGGGUGAUUAACGAAGGAGGGAAAACUAGGGAAGUAAAACCAGAGUAGAAACACAAGGAAUCAGCUACUACAAAAUAAAACAUUGUAUAGUACAUCUAAACUUGUUUGAAACUGGUAUAGUAGUGUUUCUCUUUUCAAAUUUGGGUUAAAUGGUUAAACUUUGACUUUAUAUCUUCACCUAAAGUUGCUCAUGCAAUAGUGAAACAGGGUCAACUCGUAUGUUUUUGUGACAGAAAUCAACCUUACAAUCUACGGUAUCAUUAAUCAAAUGAAUGCCACUGAUGUGCACAGGAGUUAUGCAUCAUAAAUCUGAUAAAAAAUGUCAAAGUCUUCAAUAAAACGUUACAUUUCUACUUUUCUUAUCGAUAAAUAAGUCUGUAGCUAUACAUGCUUCGCACCUAACUCAACCUCUCCUCCCCUCUCAGCUGUGGUCCCAUGCCCAGACCGGCACGGCUGUGAUCCAGUCCUAUAGGAGAAUAAGGAGACAGUUCACGGCCAAGCUGAAGUCAUCGGCCAGGCAUCCGUCAGAACAACCAGCAGAAACAAUGAGCCCUUCUGUCCCGCUAACACAAGGUUGGUUUUAGACAAGAGGGCCCGAGAGCGCUGAGAUGGACCGGCAGAGGCAAUGGAACUGACAGCUAGAGUUUUGACCUUUGUACCGUAACACCUCCUUUUCCUCUGUAGGGAUUAGGAGUAUGUUUUAUGAAUAUUCCAGCCCCUCCUCACAUCCAUCAGUUAAAGUUGCCUGUUGAAACUGUAUCAUUCUGGCCCUGAACACCACUUCCUCAAGAAAAAAAGACUCUCAGGAUUGUGCCUUUUCUCUCAGUAGCCGGACAAUACCACACAUACACACUCACACACAAAAAUACACAUCUCCCAGAGCGCUGAGCAAGGGUUUACAGAGAUAAGUGAAAGGCUGAUCUCAAAAGUUGCAGCCCAAAUGCUGGACAAUGAAAAGUUUCCUUUGGAUGUGCCGCCAGUAGCCAGAGGAGCGGAGAGACGGAGGUCAUGUCAGUCCUUGAUAGCCUGCUGUUUUAUUCUCCUCUCUCCAGAGUCACAGUCACAGUUAAUCUCAGCCCUGCGCCCCGCUGUGCCUGACCCCAACCUGCCACCUCUGUCUCCAUGCCCACUAUGUUCCCAUGGCAACAAAGGCCGACCAUGCGGCACACACAUACACACACACACGCAAGCCUAAAGCAAUGCACUCAGAGAAUGUGAAGUUUGAGAAAAUGAACUUGGGACUUUAACAGCAUAUCGAAACUGUUCAAAUGUGGUGUGGCUGUAGGCAGAACAGUCAGAGAUGGCUGUACCAACCUCUGUUGUCUACUGUACCCCCCUCCCUCUCUCUUCCAGAGAAACAAUGGUCAAAUCCAUAGGCCGCAAAUACACAGAAAAACAAAGUGGCCUGUGUGUUUCUCUCCCUCUUUCAAUCAGACACGAGUAAGAAGAUACAAAGAAAGCACUGAGUAAACCAUACACACACAAACACACACACACACUCACACACAUCACAACAGAGACACAAACACACACACUGCAGCGGGGUUGUGAUCAUGGAUUCUGUGCUGUAGGAGGAUCGGCGUUGUUGGGCAUGACGAGUCCAUCUGCCUCUCACAUUAAUCACACUGAGGGCUCCAUCAAACUUCGACGGAGACUUUUCUGGAACUAAAUCAGCUCUGUGGUUCAACUCGAUCUCUGUGCUUUUGUUUAUGUGUCUGUUUACGCAGGGAAACAUUGGUGGAGGUCUCAUGCAUGCUCAGUGGGUUUGUUUAAGUGAAUGGGUGGGUGUUGUGAGUACAUUUGCAUUGCAAGCAUGUGUUUCAGAGCGAAGGCUCUGCGUCAGCACUGACUGCAGUGUUUGAACAGAGCUGAAGGAAUUUUUCACUCAACAUUUGACUCUCACACACACUGACUCAGUCAGUACAUGGGUUUCACAUGCAGGGCAGGGUAAAACGGUCAAACCCCUCCUCU